UUCGCGCUCCACAUCAAUCCAAUGCCGUUUUGUGCUUUCUCUUUCCGUACCAAUUUCAAAAGGCAAAGAAAAAGGAAAAAUAAGGGGAAAAAAAUCUCUUUUCAUUCUCCCUUUUCGUUCUCUUUUUGGUUGAAUCUUCAAAAGACGUCUUCAACAACGCGCCACCAAGCUCCAGUCAACCGGAAGAUUUUUUCUCUUUUCUCUGCGAAAAAGCUUCUAAGUUUUUGAAUCUCUAUUCCGUGGUUAUACUUCACUCUGUUUUACUAUGCCGCAAGUGGAUCUGGAAACUCUGGUUUCUGCAUGUGCCGGUGGCGGUGCUCACGACCGGAAAAUCGCCUGCGAGGAAACUCUUGAUGACGGAGAUCACCGGCCGGAAGGUGAGAACAGAGAGGUGACAGAACAGCCGGAGAUUCCGCCGGAUUUUCCACCGGAAUCGUUUUGGCUCUCGAAAGAUGCGGAGUACGAUUGGUUAGAUCAGAACGCUUUUUACGAGAGGAAAGAUUCGACGAAAGGAAGUUCGAAUUCAACAAACUUGAAUCCUAGUGUGAAUCCGGCUUCUAAUUCGAAUUCUCAGCGAUUUUCCUUGAACUUCAAAUCGAAGGCCUCGAUUCUCGGCCUUCCGAAGCUUCACAAGACUUGUUUUGUGGAUUCAAAGAGUCGUCGAAAUGCGAAAUCUGGAAACACGAGGUUGUUCCCUAAACAAUCGGGAUCUUCCGAAAAAUCGGACUCUGCGCUCGUCGAACCGUCUUCGCCGAAAGUUUCGUGUAUGGGGAGAGUGAGAUCGAAGCGAGAUCGGAGUCGCCGGUGGAAGAAUCGUCGACGUUCAUCCGAACCGGCGCCACCGAAGGAAAAACCGAACCGGAAAGACACUCAUCGCGGCUUCUUAUCUACUUUCCGGAAUCUUUUCAGAGGUUGGAAAAAACCGCCAGCGGUUAAACCAACCGCUCCAGUUGCCGGAGACUCGCCGGCAAUGAAAGCACCUGAUAAUAUUGCGCUCAACAUCGACGCACUAACUGCGGAAUCUCGUCCUAGAAGGAGUGUGGAGAUCGAACCUCCCGGUUUGGGCGGCGUGAAGCGGUUCGCAUCUGGGAGGCGAUCCGGUUCAUGGGUCGUCGGCGAUGGAGAAUAAUCGCCGGACGGCAUGCUCUGCUUCUCUGAGGUUCUCGGUACCUUGUGGCGUGGGCUGUCGGCGGGACCCGCGGGAUUAGGUGGGCUUCUGGUGGGCCGACCUUUUUUUGUUUUUAUUGUAGAUGGAUGACGUGGCACUUUGAUUUAACCGUCCUCACCUCACUCCCGUGCUUCACAAGUUAUUUAAAGAGCAGAUUUGUGGACUUGCUAUGAUUGUCGCUUGUAUUGUGAGAUUUGAACACAGUUAUGUUUUUAUAAUCUUCACCGAAGCACUCUGAAAUUCUAGUAUUCUUGUUCUUGAGAUAUCAAAAGCAAUCUUGAGAAGAGUUCUUGGCCUUAAAGGGAGCCUACAAUAUCGUUGGUUGUGAAGAGGUUCCCAUCCUUGGGGAGGAUCCUAUGACUUCAUCAACAGAGAAGGAGUUCUCAAACUUAGGGGAGCCUAAGUUUAUCAAGUGAAACCGGUCUCAUUUGAUAGUGGAAAGAUAAAGCAUCAGCGAGAAUUUGUCUCACAUUUAGAAGGAACCCAAAUGAUUCAUCACUAAUACUCACAUACUUAGGAGGUGCCUAAGUUCUACUGAGAGGGAGUCUCACAUCUAGAGAGAGCCUUGGUGAUCAACAUAAGUUAGACUCUACAUAUGUCACUGUAAUUAUUAUGACGACUUUACAGAUAAGUACAAUGUUAUAAACACUUGACUUCAUAUUAGCGAAUUUAUCUUUUCUGGGUACUUUGCCGCUAGACAUAGAUAGUC